CAGGUCCCUCACAGGCUGCAGUUAAUAGCAGGAGCCUUAUCCUAUCUGGGCUCCUCUCAGUGGGCUGCAGCUUCCUUCAGGGCAUAUCUGUCUACUCCAGUUUGGUCUUUUCCACAGGCUGAGGGAGAAGUCUUGGAUCUGGGGCCUGAUUCACCUCCUCCCCAUCCUUCUUCAUUGACCUUGGAGCCUGCAGAAUAGCAGCCAAUGGGAAUACAACUUAUAUACAACUCAUACACAACUCAUAUACAGCUCACAGCAUCCAAAGGCAUCAUUCAGUGAGGAAAAAAAAAAAAAAAGGUGAAUUAAGGAGAAUGGAAAGGAGGGGGGUAUGUUUGUUUGUUUGUUGCUGUUGUUAUUUUCUGUUAGCAUAACUAGGCUUUUCUCGAAUAAUAGUAGGAACAUUUUCCCAUGAUAGACAAACAGUCAUCCUUGACUGUAGGCUAGCUCAGGCCAGGCUGAAGAGACUUUGGUGUAUAAUAUUACACCAUCAGAAUCCUCUAGAAAAUGGAACUAUAAACAGUGGUUUAUGAUACAAGUUCCAUGCAAAUGCAGAAAAAAAAAAUUGAAUUUUUGCUUGUAUUUAUGAUCACAACUCUCAGAUGCAGCUCUGUAUAUAUUGUGUGCCUUUUAAUCAUAUAACAGCCAUCAAAGCAGGCUUUUUUCCUAGUAGACACAUAUCUCAGUUUCAUUGUGUUUGCACUUUAGAAUUUCUUCAUGCUUUUUACCCUUCUUUCUUUCCUCCAUCUUUUUAGUUCCUUGUGAAAAUUUCAUUAAAAUUCAUUAUCAUUCCAGUAAAGUAUUUAUCCUGCUUUGCAGAUAAUUAAGAUAGUAAGUAAACUUGGAGAAAAGAAUGGCCUUGAUAUUAACCAGCAUUUAUGGACACUAAAUUUUACAUUAUGCAAAUUCAGCAGAUUGACAUGUUUCAGUUGCUUCAGAUGUGCCUUCAAACAAAAGAGUGAAUCAUGCCAUAUAUUGGAAGCUGUUUGAGUUCUCUCCUUAUUCUCUGUGUCUGCUAUUAAUUACAAUAUGUUUUAAAAUGAAAUGUCUGAGGAUGAUUUAAGAAUACAUUGUAUAAUUCUAGUGUCAUUGAUGUCUCUGUUAAAUCUGCAAUGAUUUAAUUGCAAAGAAGUUGUCCAAGAAGCCAGGGAUCAGGUUAGGAAAGCUAAAAUCCAGAUAGAAUUAAAUCUAGCCAGGGACAUAAAGGUGAAUAAGAAGAAAUUCUACAUAUAUAUCUGCGAUAAAAGGAAUGUCAGGGAAGAUGUGGGCCCUCUAUAGAAAGAAGCAGGAGACCUGGUCACAAGGGAUAGAAAGAAAGCUGAGAUGCUCAAUGUCUUUUUCUCCACAAACUUCACCGUCCAAGGCUCUAGAUGCACUGCCCAAGCUGCAGAAAGCAAAGGUAAGGACUGGGAGAAGGAAACUCUACCUGCUGUAAGUGAAAAUCAGGUUUGAGACCAUCUACAGUACUUGAAGGUGCACAAUUCCAUGGGACCCAACAAGAUCCAUCCACACGUUCUGAGGGAACUGGGGGAUGAAGUUGUCAAACCGCUAUCCACCAUAUUUGAAAGGUCAUGGCAGUCUGGUGAAGUUCCCACUGAUUGGAAAAGGGGAAACAUAACCUCCAUUCUCUUGAAGGGAAACAAGUGAGAUCCAGGAAACUACAGGCCAGUCAAUCUCACCUCUGUGCCUCGCAAGAUCAUGGAGCAGAUCUUCCUGAAGGCUUUCUCAAGACACAUGGAAAAUAAAGAUGAGGUGAUUAGUUGUAAACAACAUGGCUUCACCAAGGGCAAGUCAUGGUGGCCUUUUAUGGUGGAGUUACAGCAUCAGUAGACAAAGGAAGAGCAACUGAUGUCAUAUACCUGGACUCAUGCAAAGCAUUUGACGCUGUCCCACAUGACAUCUUGGUUGCCAAAUAGGAAAAAAAUGGAUUCGAUGGAUGGACCACUCACUGGAUAGGGAAUUGGCUGGAUGCUUGCACUCAGAGACUUGUGGUCAACAACCCAAUAUCCAAGUAGAGAUCAAUGAUGAGAGGCAUUCCUCAGAGAUCAGUGUUGGGACCAGUGAUAUUUAGUAUCUUUGUAGGUGACGUGGACAGUGGGAUUGAGCGCACCCUCAGCAAGUAUGCAGAUGACACCAAGCUCAGUGGUGAAGCUGACACACUAGAGGGAAGGGAUGCCAUCCAGAGGGAUCUGGACAGGCUUGAGAGGUGGGCCUGUGCCCACGAAGUUCAACAGGGCCAGUAGUAGGUUUUGCACCUGGGUUGGGGCAAUCCCAAGCACAGAUGCAGGUUGGGUGGAGAGUGGCUUGAGAGCAGCCCUGAGGAGAAGGAUUUGGGAGUGUCAGUUGAUGAAAGAUUCAGUGAGAGCCUGUAAUGUGUACUUGCAGCCCAGAAGGCCAACUGUAUCCUGGGUUGCAUCAAGAGAAGCAUGACCAACAGGUUGAGGGGAGAUGAUUUUUCCCCUCUACUCGGCUCUCAUGAGACCCCACCUGGAGUACUACAUCCAGUUCUGGAGUCUCCAACACAAGAAGGACAUGGAGUUGUAGAAGCAGGUCCAGAGGAGGGCCAUGAAGAUGAUCAGAGGGCUGGAGCACCUCCUCUACGAGAACAGGCUAUGAGAGCUGGGGCUCUUCAACCUGGAGAAGAGAAGGCUCCAAGGAGACUUUAUAGUGGCCUUCCAGUAUCUGAAGGGUUACUACAAGAAAGUUGGGGAGGGACUUUUUAUAAGGACAUGUAUUGACAGGAUGGGGGGAAAUGGCAUUAAAUUGGAAGAGAGUAGAUUUAGACUAGAUAUUGGGAAGAAAUUCUUUACUGUGAGGCUGAUAACUCCAGACUCCUCUCUGGAGUUGCUCAAGAUCAGGUCUAGUGGGAGGUGUGCCUGUGUUAGCAGGGAGGUUGAAACUAAAUGAUCCCUUCCAACCCAAACUAUUCUAUGCAUCUAUUAUUCUGGAAUUUUUAUAUCUUUGCUACAAUGAAUAGACAGAUAUGUUCACAAAAAUAUCUGGAAAACAUUAACUUCUAUUUUUGUUUUACCAGCAAAUGCUUCAGAAGAAAAGAGGAUAAAGAAACCUAUUUAUCUGCAUAAAGCUUUGAGAAAUGUCACAAUACGAAAUAUAUGAAAUUAAAAUUAUUACACAUCUUAACAAACCUGCAGAUAGAAUUCUUCUUUGAAAAUUAUUGCCACUUUAAUUUAAGCUGACAAUUAUUAAAAUUCUGGUUGCUAGAUACACAUUUCUCACUGAAAACCUAAACACCAUGUCAUUAAGUUGUCUGUUUUAAAUCAUAAAUACAUUAAUUUGUCUGAUUAUAAUUUGCUUUGACAAUGGAAUAUUAGAUGUCUAUCAUGAGCUAUGACUUCAUCCAAGGACCUCUGAAGUCAGCUGGAUUCUUUCCAUUGAUUUAUUUGACUUUGGAUAAGAUCUUUUGUGUACAUAUACUAUUCGUUAAAAAUAGAAAUGUAUCAUGUAAACAACCUGACAGACAGAUGUGUUUAUAUGAACAAGUCAGUACAUGACACCAUAAUCCACUAUCUUUCAAGUUAAUUUUGUAGAACAGCAUCAGUUAACGAAACAAACCUAGUGUUUCAGACGAUGAAGGAGGAAACUAUGCAUGAAAAGAGCAGCAAGGAAUUUCUGAGCAAACAAGAUUAAAUAAUCCUUUCACCUACUUCAUGAUCCUUUAAAAAAAAAAAAAAAAGCUAAUUUAAAAAAUGAAUGCUACAUUAAUACAAAGUGAGGAAAGAUGUAAUUGUAAAAAAAACCGUAGCAAGUUCAAAGGCAAAUGUGGUUACCAAUGGAAAUCUUGUCCAGAAAUAGCUGAGAAUUAUGUUCAACAUUUAACCUCCGAAAGGAUCUGUCCUGAGUUUCAGAUUGCUUGUUUUUCAUCAGUAUGUGAGAUCUGACAGAAGUCAGAAGGUUAAAAAAAUCAUAGUAAACUUUACAAAAGAAAUUUUAGGCUUACUUUUAAAAAAUAUAUAUAUCUUAUUCUUAUUAUUUGUAAAUUUAUUUUAAUGAAAUCAGAAGGCAACUUCUUAGUAAAACAGAACAAAACUAUCUAAUCAUAGAUUGUAGAUUUCAAAGAGGAGGGUGACCAUACAAAAUGUCAUAGAUAAUUAUGACAAGAAAACUAAGUGAGAAGUCUGAAUUAGGGAUUAAAAAAACAACAAAUAGAAAGAAGUGUAAAGCAAGGUUGUUCUUGGCUACAAGACAGACACUGGAUUAUGGGAAAUACAAAUGCAUUUUUAGUCUGACUCUGAGUAAUGAAAAUAAAAUAUUAA
ensembl:lncRNA